rnacentral:rRNA from 1 species
UACGUAGGGUGCAAGCGUUAAUCGGAAUUACUGGGCGUAAAGCGUGCGCAGGCGGUGAUGUAAGACAGGUGUGAAAUCCCCGGCUUAACCUGGGAACUGCAUUUGUGACUGCAUCGCUGGAGUGCGGCAGAGGGGGGUGGAAUUCCGCGUGUAGCAGUGAAAUGCGUAGAUAUGCGGAGGAACACCGAUGGCGAAGGCAAUCCCCUGGGCCUGCACUGACGCUCAUGCACGAAAGCGUGGGGAGCAAACAGG